rnacentral:rRNA from 1 species
CCUACGGGUGGCAGCAGUGGGGAAUAUUGCGCAAUGGGCGAAAGCCUGACGCAGCGACGCCGCGUGAGGGAUGAAGGUCUUCGGAUCGUAAACCCCUGUCAGCAGGGAAGAACGGUCACUGUGCUAAUCAGCAGUGAAUUGACGGUACCUGCAAAGGAAGCACCGGCUCACUCCGUGCCAGCAGCCGCGGUAAUACGGAGGGUGCGAACGGUGAUCGGAAUUACUGGGCGUAAAGCGCUCGUAGGCGGUAUGUCAACUCAAGGGUGAAAUCCCCGCGCUCAACGUGGGAACUGCCUUUGAAACUGGCAACCUGGAGUGUGUGAGAGGAUAGUGGAAUGCCAGGUGUAGGAGUGAAAUCCGUAGAUAUCUGGAGGAACAUCAGUGGCGAAGGCGACUAUCUGGCACAUAACUGACGCUGAGGAGCGAAAGCGUGGGUAGCAAACAGGAUUAGAUACCCUUGUAGUC